rnacentral:lncRNA from 1 species
AAAUCUGAACCUCAAAGCAAAAUCGAUGUGCACAAGGUGUUUGACGAAAGUUUCACCAAUGGCUGCCCCACAGUAUUUGCUGAAACGCGAUCACAAACUUCAAUUAAAAUGCCUCGUGAAGCAUCUACAAGUACGGAUAGUCUCGCAGUCCAAUUGUUUGACGAAUGUCCCCAAAGAGAACUACCAGAGAGGUACAUUAACACAAUUUCUCUAAAUCGUAGCUAUAAUGUACAACAAAUUGAAAUUGAG